GGUCCAGCGCUGUCUAAAGUUCACUCAGCAAAUAGUCACUAAAUGCCCCCAUGUGGGGAACCAGCCCGGGCUCGGGGCAGCUGAUUUGGGGGGGGGCCUGGAGGGAAACUCUGAGCUGGGAGUCAGCACCGCUCACGUGAGUCAAUUGUCUCACCAUCCUGGGAUGAACAGAUCGAUAGAGCCACUCAGACAGAGAGAGAAGGAGGGUUACAUUCUGAGGGAGCAGCAGUCAUGUAUGGAUGUGAGAGUUGGACCAUAAAGAAGGCUGAGCACUGAAGAAUUAAUGCCUUUGAACUGCGGUGUUGG
ensembl:lncRNA